ensembl:lncRNA
AGCGAUGCUGUCAACUAGACUUGAAACUUAAGCAUUUGCAUAUUUUCUGUCAUUGUGCAUUUCAUGUGGAUAGCUGUCUUCCAAAGACGUACAUUGGCCCUCGGAUGAUACUUUAGAGUUUAAUUGCUGGAGCG